AAUCUCUAAAAUUCUAUGAUUAGAAUUAGUCUAAACAGAAGAAGAGGGAAAUGAAAGGAAAUUAAACAAAUAAAAGGUUUAAACUAAAAACGUCUGGGACUGAGACUGCAAAGAAAACAAGCCCGGGCAUGCCCGAGUCCAUCUUGAAGCUAGGUCACCCGGUCAUAAAGAUAAGGGAAGGAAUGCAGGAACUGGUUCUGACUAUCUUGGCUGACUCAUUGACCCUCUGGCAGCCCGGCGCCUCCUGAUCGCCCCCCUUUCUAUAGACAGCAUAGUUAAAAGCUGAAACAUUAACCAGAUGCAUUGACGACUCAGAUAAGCCCCCGGCUUUAGAAUUCUUAUAUGCCCUGGCCUGCACGUACUACUCUGCUGACUCAUAAUCAUGUUGUUGAUGUUUGAAUGGGGCAAUCACGUGUAAUCGCGCCAAUUCUUCCUAGCCCCUAACCCCUACCCUAUAAAAACCCUGACUUUUUGAGUCUCAGGGUCGAUUCCUCUGUCUCCUGAGUGAGAUACGUAUUGACCUGGAGCCCCACCAUCAAAGCUGCCUCAUGCUUUUGCAACAAGGUCUCUCAUGUUUUUUUGGGUGACGCUGCAUCCUGAGACUUGAGUGGGGGCUCCUUCUUGGGGGGGCAUCUUACAUUUGCGGGCUCGUCCGGGAUUUGAGGGGUCCCCAAGGACUUGAAAUACCACUUGGAGUUACGUUUUGUAUGUGUGUGGUAUGUUUGUGCGGCCACUGAGUCUGUGCCUUGUUUUUCGGAGUCUGGUGUUCUGGCAGCUGCCAUUGAGGACUGUAAGGACCCACAGGCUGCGGUGGGGGAUGCCCUAAGGCCUGUAGGCUGCACCCCUGGAAGACGUUCCAAGGGAGACCCUGGAGGGAGUGCCCAGGGUAAGGAACAGUCAGGAGGAUCUGGCUGUUGCCUGGCAGAGUAAAGGAGAGAGAGUGUUCUUCCUGCCAGAGAAGGAGUGGAUGCGGAAUCCCACUCUGUCAGAGGUAGCGUGUGGCUUGUUGUAUAAGUCCAGAUGUGGACAAGUUUGUUUAGAUGUCUUAGUGUGUUCUGUCUCUGUCAUUGUGUUGUAUUUAUUCUUAUUCUUCACUAUGGGACAGACCGUGUCUACUCCUUUAUCUUUGAAUAAGGACCAUUGGACGGACGUUAGGGCUAGAGGACGAAAUUUGUCAGUAAUAGUGAAGAAAAAGCCAUGGAUGACUUUCUGCUCCUCGGAAUGGCCUGUUUUUGGAGUAGGUUGGCCACCGGAACAUUUUACUUACCCACCAUAAGGGCUAUGAAGGCCAUUGUUUUUCAGGAAGGGCCAGGGUCGCAUCCAGAACAGCACCCAUACAUGACAGUAUGGGAGGACUUGGCAUGCUACCCACCCCCGUGGGUUCACCCAUUCCUCCCACCUCUCUGCCCUGGCACCAAGAUCCUAGCCAUCUGAGAAAAUGCUGAGAAAGAGAAACCAAAACCACCGCUCGGGGGAGAUGAUGAACACAGCACACCAGUGAUGAAACUCCUCAAGAUCUAUCCAGAGAUUGAAGAACCCCCUGAGUGGCCCGACACCCCUUAACCCCCACCGUAUGCUCCCCAGCUCCAACCUUCAGCUUCCUCGGGACCUCUGCCUCAGGCCUGGGCAGGAGGAGAGGGUCCCUCCACAGGAACAAGGAGCUGGCGAGGAGUCACCCCUGAGGGGCCUGCUGAUUCAACCGUGGCACUUCCACUCAGGGCUAUUGGGGCUCCCCCUGCUGAUCUGGAUAGUCUGCAGCCCUUACAGUAUUGGCCUUUUUCCUCUUCUGAUCUCUAUAAUUGGAAAGCUAAUCACCUUCCUUUUUCAGAGAACCCCGCAGGACUCAUAGGGUUGGUCGAAUCACUAAUGUAUUUGCACCAGCCGACCUGGGAUGACUGCCAACAGCUUCUGUAGACCUUAUUCACCACAGAGGAGAGAGAAAGGAUUUUCCUCGAGGCUCAGAAAAACAUCCGAGAUGAGGUUGGGCAGCCUGUCCAACCUCCAGCCAAGAUAGUUGAAGGAUUCCCGCUAACCCAGCCCCGAUGGGAUUACAAUACAGCACAAGGUUACAUCCCAACAGCCAGCCUUUGUUCGCUUUUGAAUGGCGAGAUUCUGAGAGUGGACAAGCUGGACAGCUCACAUGGACGAGGUUGCCUCAGGGAUUCAAGAACUCGCCCACCUUGUUGGAUGAAGCACUACACCGAGACCUUGCCCCCUUCCGAGCCAGUAACCCACAGGUGACUCUUCUGCAGUAUGUAGAUGACCUCCUACUAGCUGCAGAAACAUGUGAGGACUGUGAAACUGGGACUCAAAACCUCCUGGUCGAGCUAGGUUAGCUGGGGUAUCGGGUCUCUGCUAAAAAGGCUCAGUUAUGCCGGACAGAAGUGACCUACUUAGGAUAUGUUCUGAGAGAUGGACAACAGUGGCUCACAGAAGCCAGAAAACAAGCCGUUAUGCAGAUCCUGGCCCCAACCACUGCUAGCCAGGUAAGAGAGUUCCUGGGGACUGCUAGGUUUUAUAGACUCUGGAUUCCCAAAUUUGCCACUCUGGCAGCCCCAUUGUACCCAUUAACCAAAGAAAAAGGAGAGUUCAUCUGGACCAGAGAACAUCAGCUAGUCUUUCAAACUCUCAAAAAGGCGCUACUGCAGGCUCCAGCAUUGGCCCUGCCAGAUGUGAGCAAGCCUUUUACCUUAUACAUUGAUGAAAGAAAUGGGGUGGCAAGGGGAGUCCUUACCCAGCUUUUGGGGCCAUGGAAGCACCCAGUAGCCUACUUAUCAAAGAAGCUGGACCCUGUGGCCAGCGGAUGGCCCUCCUGCCUGCAAGUGAUAGCAGCCACGGCUGUGCUAGUAAGAGAUGCUUACAAACUGACUAUGGGCCAGAAUGUUACCAUAAUGGCCCCGCACUCUCUUGAGAGCAUUGUCAGGUAACCACUGGACCGCUGGAUGACUAACGCCAGAAUGACGCACUACCAGAGCCUAUUGCUGACAGAGCAAGUAAGUUUUGCACCCCCAGCCAAUCUCAACCCUGCUACUUUACUACCUGGGGUUGACGAGGCCCCUGCACAUAAGUGUGAGGAAAUACUGGCAGAAGAGACUGGAAUCUGGCCAGACUUCACAGACCAACAUUGGCCAGGGGAGAUGACCUGGUUCACUGAUGGAAGCAGCUUCAUGGUAGAAGGUAAGCGGAGGGCUGGGGCAGCAUUAGUGGAUUAGUGGAAAGUCUGUCAUAUGGGCCAGCAGCCUGCCGGAGGGUACAUCAGCUCAAAAAGCAGAACUUAUCUCACUAAUUCAAGCCUUAAGGCUGGCAGAAGGAAGGACUCUUAAUGUCUAUACCGUCAGCCGGUAUGCUUUUGCCACGGCCCAUGUUCACAAAGCAAUAUACCAACACCAUGGACUGCUAACGUCUGCCGGCAAGGAUAUCAAAAAUAAAGAAGAAAUUCUCAGCUUAUUAGAAGCUGUCCAUCUGUUCCAUAGAGUGGCAAUUAUCCAUUGCCCAGGACACCAGAAGGGAACGGGGCCUGCUGAAAAGGGAAACCAAAUGGCAGACCAAGAAGCCAAAAAAGCAGCCCAAGGGCCAAUGACUCUGGUGGCAAGAACCCAACAGCCCGCCAACGAGGAAAUAACUAAAAGAACCCUCACAGAUGAAGAGGGGCGAGAUUACUUAGAUAACAUACACCAUCUGACUCAUUUAGGAACUAAAAAAUUAAUAAAAUUGGUUAGUAAGUCCCCCUAUUACAUUCCUGGAUUAAAAAGAAUUGUAGAAGAGAUAGUAAAAAACUGCCAUGCUUGUGCACUUACCAACGCCGGGUCUAGCAGGCUCCAGGAAGGAAAACGACUGUGACGAGACAGGCCUAGAGCCUACUGGGAAACCCGACUUCACUGAGGUGAAACCGGCUAAGUAUGGAAAUAAAUAUCUCUUAGUUUUCAUAGACACCUUCUCAGGAUGGGUCAAGGGGUUCCCCACCAAGAAGGAAAGAGCUAUUGUAGUGGUCAAGAAGAUACUUGAAGAAAUCCUUCUCCGCUUUGGGAUACCUAAGGUAAUGGGGACAGACAACAGACCUGCCUUUGUCUCCCAGGUAAGUCAGGGAUUGGCCAGACAACUGGGGACUAAUUGGAAAUUACAUUGUGCAUACAGACCCCAGAGUUCAGGACAGGUAGAAAGGAUGAAUAGGACGCUAAAAGAGACUCUAACUAAAAUAGCCUUGGAGACCGGCGGAAGUGAUUGGACAGCUGUUCUCCCUUAUUUCUUGUUCAGGUUUUGAAAUACCCCUGGACCCCUUGGCUUAACCCCUUUUGAAUUAAUGUAUGGGGCGCCCCCGCCCAUUUUUAUGACCGUAGGGGAUAAGAAUCACCUGAAUGUGUCUUUCUCUCCUUCUUCUACUCUUUUGGCUCAAUUAAAAGCUCUCGAAAUAGUAAGAAAAGAGGUCUGGGAACAGCUAAAAGAAACCUAUGUUGCUGGUGACACAGGUGCCGCACCAGUUUGAAGUAGGAGACGCAGUCCUGGUGAGGAAACAGCGAGCAGGGAACCUAGAGCAGAGGUGGAAGGGGCCCUUCUUGGCCCCUUCUGACAACGCCCACCUCGGUCAAAGUGGAAGCAAUCCCCACUUGGAUCCACGUGUCCCAUGUCAAGAGAGCACCCCCUGGAGUCAGCCAUGAUGAGUGGACUUUGGAGAAGACUACUAACCCUCUUAAGUUGCGCCUGCUUCGUAGGAGCGAUCCCAAAGGACUUCAACCCCUACAGUCCUGUUCAACAAACGUGGGAGGUAUUCAAUGAGGGGGGUAGGGCUGUAUGGACAAUCGCCGAGGUACACCCCCUGUGGACUUGGUGGCCUAAUCUUUGCCCUGACAUCUUUAAGUUUGCUAUAGGAGCCCCUCCUGGAUGGGACCUUUAGGGGUACUCUGACAUUAAGAGGGCACCUUUUAAACCCCCUCCGUACGUAGAAAAACAUUCGAGAGACCCAUGGGGUGGUUGCUCUAACCAAAGGAAUAGAAGCAUGCUUCAAACCCAUCCCUUCUAUGUCUGCCCCAGGCCCCACCAAAGUCAGUCCCUCAAUCCAACAUGUUGAGGUAAGACUGACUUCUUUUGCAAGAGCUGGGUUUACAAGACUUCAGGUACAGCCCGCUGGAAGCCCUCCUCGAGCUGCGACUAUAUUAGAGUAACAGCCAAUUAUUCCCUAGUGUCUUACGUACCUGGAGGAUUUCACCUAGACGAGUGUACUGACUGGUGCCAUCUGCUCCGUGCCACCUUCACUGAACCAGGGAAAAGAGCUCUGGGAUGGACAAAAGGGUAUACCUGGGGUCUUAGGAUUUACAAGGAAAGAUAUGAUGAGGGAUUAUUGUUCACUAACAGAUUAAAAUAGAGACCCCCUACAAUCCUUUAGGCCCCCCCAACCAAGUCCACACCCCUUACCUAUACCAUUACUCAGCCUACUCCGGUGAUUGCGGACCCCCUUAAUAUGGUCGCUCUCACCCAACCUCCCACUCUUCAAGUACCUCUAACUAUUACCUCCACAAUCCCUUCAACAAGACAGAGGAUGUUUAACCUAGUGAGAGGAGCCUUUUAUGCCCUUAAUAGAACUGAACCAAGCGCUACUGAGGACUGCUGGCUAUGCCUGUCCUCCGGUCCUCCUUAUUAUGAAGGAAUUGCCUUCAAUGGAGAUUUCAACAGAACCAAUAGCCAUACUUCCUGCUCUUGGGGAACAGGACAAAAACUGACCCUGACUGAAGUAUCCGGGAGGAGUCCAGGUCUCUGUAUAGGCACCCCACCUUCCACCCACAAACACCUAUGCGGACAAAUUCAAUCAGUGUCCAGGACAGAAGCUAAUUACUAUCUUGUACCCUCCCUGGUUGGCUGGUGGACUUGCAAUACAGGACUUACUCCCUGUGUAUCAACUAAGGUUUUUAAUUCAUCUCAUGAUUUUUGUGUCAUGAUCCAGCUGUUACCCCGCGUAUAUUAUCACCCUGCAUCCAGUUUAGAAGAAAGCUAUGCUGGCCGGCGGUCAAAAAGAACCAAUUACUUUAACCCUGGCUGUAUUCAUGGGAAUAGGUAUGGCAGUAGGAGUGGGGACGGGAGUGUCAGCUUUGAUAGAAGGAAGACAAGGAAUUCAGUCUUUGAGGGAUGCUGUCAAUGAAGACCUAGCAGCAAUAGAGAAGUCCAUUGACCCUUUAGAAAAAUCUUCGACUUCCCUGUCUGAGGAAGUUUUGCAGAACAGGAGAGGCCUUGAUUUGUUGUUCCUAAAGGAAGGAGGACUGUGUGCUGCCCUUAAAGAAGAGUGCUGCUUCUAUGCAGAUCAUACAGGAAUACUUAGAGAUUUUAUGCAGAAA